AGAGUUUGAUCCUGGCUCAGGAUGAACGCUAGCGGCAGGCUUAACACAUGCAAGUCGAGGGGUAUAAGUCUUCGGAUUUAGAGACCGGCGCACGGGUGCGUAACGCGUAUGCAAUCUACCUUUCACAGAGGGAUAGCCCAGAGAAAUUUGGAUUAAUACCUCAUAGUAUAUAGAGUUGGCAUCAACAUUAUAUUAGAGUCACAACGGUGAAAGAUGAGCAUGCGUCCCAUUAGCUAGUUGGUAAGGUAACGGCUUACCAAGGCUACGAUGGGUAGGGGUCCUGAGAGGGGGAUCCCCCACACUGGUACUGAGACACGGACCAGACUCCUACGGGAGGCAGCAGUGAGGAAUAUUGGACAAUGGGCGCAAGCCUGAUCCAGGCAUGCCGCGUGCAGGAUGACGGUCUAUGGAUUGUUAACUGCUUUUAUACCGGAAGAAGACGACUCCCUCGUAGGGAGCUUGACGGUACUGUAAGAAUAAGGAUCGGCUAACUCCGUGCCAGCAGCCGCGGUAAUACGGAGGAUCCAAGCGUUAUCCGGAAUCAUUGGGUUUAAAGGGUCCGUAGGCGGUCUUAUAAGUCAGUGGUGAAAUCUCCCCGCUCAACGGGGAAACGGCCAUUGAUACUGUAGGACUUGAAUUAUUAGGAAGUAACUAGAAUAUGUAGUGUAGCGGUGAAAUGCUUAGAGAUUACAUGGAAUACCAAUUGCGAAGGCAGGUUACUACUAAUGGAUUGACGCUGAUGGGCGAAAGCGUGGGUAGCGAACAGGAUUAGAUACCCUGGUAGUCCACGCCGUAAACGAUGGAUACUAGCUGUUGGAAGCAAUUUCAGUGGCUAAGCGAAAGUGAUAAGUAUCCCACCUGGGGAGUACGUUCGCAAGAAUGAAACUCAAAGGAAUUGACGG
rnacentral:rRNA from 1 species